rnacentral:rRNA from 1 species
UACAGAGGGUGCAAGCGUUAAUCGGAAUUACUGGGCGUAAAGCGUGCGUAGACGGUUGCGUAAGUCAGAUGUGAAAGCCCCGGGCUCAACCUGGGAAUUGCAUUUGAGACUGCGUAGCUAGGGUGCGGAAGAGGGAAGCGGAAUUCCAGGUGUAGCGGUGAAAUGCGUAGAUAUCUGGAGGAACACCGGUGGCGAAGGCGGCAUCCUGGACCGGUAUUGACACUGAGGAGCGAAAGCCAGGGGAGCGAACGGG